rnacentral:rRNA from 1 species
GAUUAACGCUGGCGGCGUGCCUAACACAUGCAAGUCGAACGAUGAAACUCAUUAGAUUUCUUCGGAAUGAAAAUGAAUGGAUUAGUGGCGAACGGGUGAGUAACGCGUGAGUAACCUGCCUUACACAAGGGGAUAGCCUCUGGAAACGGAGAAUAAUACCCUAUGAAACCAGACAAUCGCAUGAUAAUCUGGUCAAAAUGUUUAGUGGUGUAAGAUGGACUUGCGUCUGAUUAGCUAGUUGGUGAGAUAAAAGCUCACCAAGGCAACGAUCAGUAGCCGGCUUGAGAGAGUGUACGGCCACAUUGGGAAUGAGACACGGCCCAGACUCCUACGGGAGGCAGCAGUGGGGAAUUUUGCACAAUGGGGGAAACCCUGAUGCAGCGACGCCGCGUGAUUUAGAAGGCCUUCGGGUUGUAAAAAUCUUUUGUAUAGGAAGAAAAUGACAGUACUAUACGAAUAAGGUCCGGCUAAUUACGUG